rnacentral:rRNA from 1 species
UACGUAGGUGGCAAGCGUUGUCCGGAUUUACUGGGCGUAAAGAGCGCGCAGGCGGUCGUUCAAGUCGCGUGUGAAAGCCCCCGGCUCAACUGGGGAGGGUCACGCGAUACUGAUCGACUCGAAGGCAGGAGAGGGUAGUGGAAUUCCCGGUGUAGUGGUGAAAUGCGUAGAGAUCGGGAGGAAUACCUGUGGCGAAGGCGGCCUACUGGGCCGGACCUGACGCUGAGACGCGAAGGCGUGGGGAGCGAACGGG